rnacentral:rRNA from 1 species
ACUCCUACGGGAGGCAGCAGUAAGGAAUAUUGCGCAAUGGGCGAAAGCCUGACGCAGCGACGCCGCGUGGGGGAUGAAGGUCUUCGGAUUGUAAACCCCUUUCGGGAGGGAAGAUGGAGCGAGCAAUCGUUCGGACGGUACCUCCAGAAGCAGCCACGGCCAACUUCGUGCCAGCAGCCGCGGUAAUACGAAGGUGGCAAGCGUUGUUCGGAUUCACUGGGCGUACAGGGUGUGUAGGCGGUUUGGUAAGCCUUCAGUUAAAGCUUCGGGCCCANCCCUNAANGCGCAGAGGGUACUGCCAGGCUAGAGGGUGGGAGAGGAGCGCGGAAUUCCCG